GACGAACGCUGGCGGCGUGCCUAAUACAUGCAAGUUGAGCGAUGAAGCUUGGUGCUUGCACCAAUUUGAAGAGCAGCGAACGGGUGAGUAACGCGUGGGGAAUCUGCCUUUGAGCGGGGGACAACAUUUGGAAACGAAUGCUAAUACCGCAUAAUAACUUUAAACAUAAGUUUUAAGUUUGAAAGAUGCAAUUGCAUCACUCAAAGAUGAUCCCGCGUUGUAUUAGCUAGUUGGUGAGGUAAAGGCUCACCAAGGCGAUGAUACAUAGCCGACCUGAGAGGGUGAUCGGCCACAUUGGGACUGAGACACGGCCCAAACUCCUACGGGAGGCAGCAGUAGGGAAUCUUCGGCAAUGGACGAAAGUCUGACCGAGCAACGCCGCGUGAGUGAAGAAGGUUUUCGGAUCGUAAAACUCUGUUGGUAGAGAAGAACGUUGGUGAGAGUGGAAAGCUCAUCAAGUGACGGUAACUACCCAGAAAGGGACGGCUAACUACGU
rnacentral:rRNA from 1 species